UACGUAGGGUGCGAGCGUUGUCCGGAAUUAUUGGGCGUAAAGGGCUCGUAGGCGGUCUGUCGCGUCGGAUGUGAAAGCCCGGGGCUUAACUCCGGGUCUGCAUUCGAUACGGGCAGACUAGAGUGUGGUAGGGGAGAUCGGAAUUCCUGGUGUAGCGGUGAAAUGCGCAGAUAUCAGGAGGAACACCGAUGGCGAAGGCAGGUCUCUGGGCUGUAACUGACGCUGAGGAGCGAAAGCAUGGGGAGCGAACAGG
rnacentral:rRNA from 1 species